UACGUAGGGUGCAAGCGUUUGUCCGGAAUUAUUGGGCGUAAAGAGCUCGUAGGCGGUCUGUCGCGUCUGCUGUGAAAACUCGGGGCUUAACCCCGGGCCUGCAGUGGGUACGGGCAGACUAGAGUGCGGUAGGGGAGACUGGAAUUCCUGGUGUAGCGGUGAAAUGCGCAGAUAUCAGGAGGAACACCGGUGGCGAAGGCGGGUCUCUGGGCCGAUACUGACGCUGAGGAGCGAAAGCGUGGGGGAGCGAACAGG
rnacentral:rRNA from 1 species